rnacentral:rRNA from 1 species
GGAUCAAUAUGUCGGUCGUGCCUCGGUACGUACUGGCAUCAUUGGUUUCUCCCUUCUGAUGAACCAUGAUGCCAUUAAUUUGGUGUCGUGGGGAAUCAGGACUGUUACUUUGAAAAAAUUAGAGUGUUUAAAGCAGGCAAUAUUUCCGCUUGAAUAGGCUAGCAUGGAAUAAUAAAAUAGGACUUUUGGUUCUAUUUUGUUGGUUUCUAGGACCAGAGUAAUGAUUAAUAGGGAUAGUUG